GCGCACAACUCUGAAGAGUGGCCGGGAUUCGUCGUCCCGGCCCACCGCAGGAGCAAGCCCGCCACCACGGUGGGUGAAUCUCUCAGGUCACAAACAGAGGGGGUCAU
rfam:Hydrogenophaga sp. A37 NODE_23_length_66302_cov_7.92406_ID_45, whole genome shotgun sequence.